AGUCGGGAGUUGGAAGGAAAGCGUAGUAGCCCCAGCCACCCAAACUGCGCAUCAACUUCCCUCUGCCUCAGCGGAUCCACCCCGAUCACGUGAAAAGGGAGCCCCGGAGCACUGUGGGAGAUUCUACCUUAACAAUCUGAAUAUCACUGUCCUCCAUAUCCAUACUGUCUUCAGAUGGAUGAAUACAAGGGCCUGUGUGCACCGUUCUACAAUGUGGCUCAUCUGAAGAAAACUUGCAGCAGUCAAGUAAUUUACCAGUUCCAUCUCAGGGAAUUCCAGCACACCACUAUAACAGGAU